AAAAACUUUAAAUCAAAGUUGCAGUAAUUGUUUUAAGAAAGCUAAUCAACAUUUUUUUUUUUUUGUAAAAGCCUUGCAAUUUAUUAAAACAUAUACUCAAUGGACUAUUUUUGUAAUAGGCCCAUACAUUAAUCCCUUUAGGGCCCAGUCCAAUUACACCAAACCAACUAGCUAACCAAACCAAAAUUGAUCCCAGUUUUUAAAAUCUAAAUCAGUAGCUAACCGAAUUAAACCAGAAACCCUAAUCUUUGAUCGGAGAACCCGAACAGAACCGCCUUCCCACAUAGCAGCGGAUACUCGCCGGAUCAGGACCUCCGACGAGCCAGGAAGAUGGGAGUCGAACGGAGUAGGCGACACAGGGUCGUCAGCAUCCAGCCACCGUAGAGUUGAGUAGAGAAGGAAGAAGAAACCGAUACAAAAAUCCGAAAGCCACAGUUCAGUCAUGAUAGAGAUAAAGCAGUAGGGAGUAGAUCUUGAUAACCAUCAACGGUGGCUUAGCUUUGCCUUUCCAACUGAAAACCUCCCCCGUCUAACCGUCGGCCGUGACAAAACCUCAUGUGUCUCCAGUCGUCUAGAUCUAACCGCUGUUUCUUUCUCGUUCCUUACUG
rnacentral:lncRNA from 1 species